rnacentral:rRNA from 1 species
AAGAGUGCGUAACAGCUCACUAGUCUAGAGACUUUGCGCCGAAAAUUCAACGGGGCUAAACAUAGUACCGAAGAUGUGGGAGUGUGAUUAAGUUCACACUCGGUAAGGAAGCGUUCCAUACGCACUGAAGCGUCAGGCGCGAGCCAGCGUGGAGUGUAUGGAAGUGAGAAUGCUGGAACGAGUAACCGCAAUUGGGGUGAGAUCCCCCAACACCGAAAGUCUAAGGUUUCCUGGGCAAUGUCAAUCAUCCCAGGGUUAGUCGGUCCUAAGGUGAGGCCGAAAGGCGUAGUCGAUGGACACACGGUUAAUAUUCCGUGACUUUAAUAUUAUUCGAAGGAGUGACGCAUUCUAGUAUACUUUGCGCCUUAUUGGAUUGGCGUAGGGAUAUUGAAAAGGUCGGACAGGAAAAUCCGUUCGGCAAUACUUUAAGAUAUUUCUGGAAUUUCAAUGAAAGUUGGGAGAACAAAGUAAAGCAGGGUGCCGGGAAAAACUUCUAAGGCUAGUAAUAUUGAAUCCGUACUAAAACCGACACAGGUAGACUGGGCGAGUAGCCUAAGGUGAACGAGUGAACCUUUGUUAAGGAAUUCGGCAAAAAAGCGUCCGUAACCUAGGGAUAUGGACCGCCCCGACGCAAGUUGGGGCCGCAGCGAAAGAGCCCAAGCGACUGUUUACCAAAAACACAGCUCUCUGCAAACCCGUAAGGGGAAGUAUAGGGGGUGACGCCUGACCAGUGCUGGAACGUUAACGGGAGCGGUGCAAGCCAAUCCCCGAAGCGCCAGUGAACGUCAGCGAUAACUAUAAGUAACGAUUGUAGUUAAAAAAUUUGGCCAAAUGCUGGAAAAUCCGUGUAUCUCAAUCUACUCGAUCUAUGUUAAUGAUCAGUGAAAAUGAUUGAGUGUUUCUAUGAGGAAUAGAUAACGGGCAAUCAGCAGGAAAGACUCUUAAAACAUAUUAUGAACAAUAAUUGGAUUAACAAAAUUCCCCCAGAAUGGGGACAUUACAUUGCUGGUUUUGUUGAUGGAGAGGGGAGCUUCAAUGUUUCUCUUCGAAAAAAACCGGACCAUACGAUGGGAUGGCAAGUCGUAUUAACAUUCAAUGUUGCCCAAAAAGAAUCCUACAUUCUAUCUCAAAUAAAAAAAUAUUUAGGAUGUGGACGAUUGCAAUGCAGAAAAGACGGAGUUUGUUAUUAUGUUUGCGCCAAUCCGAUUUCUCUUAAAGAAAGGGUAAUUCCUUUUUUUAGGAAAUUUAUAUUCAGAUCUGCAAGAAAAAAACAAAAUUUUUCAAUCUUUUGUGAGAUUGUUGAAUUAGUUUUUAGCAAACAACAUCUGAAUGAAGACGGACUGGAACAAAUUAUAAAACUUAGAGAAAAACUGAAUGAAGGAAAGGGUAGAAAAAGAAAAUAUGAAAUAAGUGAUUGGAUAAAUCACAAAAAAGAGAAUCCUCAGAGACUAUACGCCAAACCAAGAGCUUUUAGAAAAGAGCUUGGAUGAUAUAGUCCGAUCUCUUGAGCGAUCAAGAGUUAACAAGAACGAUGAAUCGUUCUAAGGUAGCGAAAUUCCUUGUCAGGUAAAUUCUGACCCGCAUCAAAGGCGUAACGACUUGGGAACUGUCUUAACAAAGAGCUCGGUGAAAUUGCAAUGACGGUAAAGAUGCCGUCGACCUGCAGCAAGACGAAAAGACCCCGUGGAGCUUUACUACAACUUGGUAUUGAUUUAGAGUUUUGGUUGCCUAGCAUAGGUGGGAGACUUUGAUUUCUCGAUUUCGGUCGAGGAGGAGUCGACAGUGUAAUACCACUCUGCUGAAGUUUUAAAUCUAACCCUGGACCAUUAAAAGUUUAAAAUGCAAAAAUCAAAAUGUAAAAUGACAAUUUAAAAUUCAAAAAUUAUUUUGAAUUUAUAAGAUUUUUAAUUUUGCAUUGUAAUUCUGAUUUUUGAGAUUUUCAUUUUGAUUUUUUACUGGUUCGGGGACAGUGCCUGGUGGGUAGUUUGACUGGGGCGGUCGCCUCCUAAAUGGCAACGGAGGCGUUUACAAAGGUUGGCUAGAUCCGGAUGGAAAUCGGGUCGAUAGUGCAAAAGCAUAAGCCAGCUUUACUGCGAGACUUAUUAGUCGAUCAGUCACGAAAGUGGAAUUUAGUGAACCGACUGUCGCAUGUAGAUGCGCAGAAGAUCAUCAGAUAAAAGUUA